rnacentral:rRNA from 1 species
AAGUCGAGCGAACGGACGAGAAGCUUGCUUCUCUGAUGUUAGCGGCGGACGGGUGAGUAACACGUGGAUAACCUACCUAUAAGACUGGGAUAACUUCGGGAAACCGGAGCUAAUACCGGAUAAUAUUUUGAACCGCAUGGUUCAAAAGUGAAAGACGGUCUUGCUGUCACUUAUAGAUGGAUCCGCGCUGCAUUAGCUAGUUGGUAAGGUAACGGCUUACCAAGGCAACGAUGCAUAGCCGACCUGAGAGGGUGAUCGGCCACACUGGAACUGAGACACGGUCCAGACUCCUACGGGAGGCAGCAGUAGGGAAUCUUCCGCAAUGGGCGAAAGCCUGACGGAGCAACGCCGCGUGAGUGAUGAAGGUCUUCGGAUCGUAAAACUCUGUUAUUAGGGAAGAACAUAUGUGUAAGUAACUGUGCACAUCUUGACGGUACCUAAUCAGAAAGCCACGGCUAACUACGUGCCAGCAGCCGCGGUAAUACGUAGGUGGCAAGCGUUAUCCGGAAUUAUUGGGCGUAAAGCGCGCGUAGGCGGUUUUUUAAGUCUGAUGUGAAAGCCCACGGCUCAACCGUGGAGGGUCAUUGGAAACUGGAAAACUUGAGUGCAGAAGAGGGAAGUGGAAUUCCAUGUGUAGCGGUGAAAUGCGCAGAGAUAUGGAGGAACACCAGUGGCGAAGGCGACUUUCUGGUCUGUAACUGACGCUGAUGUGCGAAAGC